rnacentral:misc_RNA from 1 species
GAUGAAGAACGCAGCGAAAUGCGAUAAGUAAUGUGAAUUGCAGAAUUCAGUGAAUCAUCGAAUCUUUGAACGCACAUUGCGCCCCUUGGUAUUCCGGGGGGCAUGCCUGUUCGAGCGUCAUUUCAACCCUCAAGCUCAGCUUGGUAUUGAGUCCAUGUCAGUAAUGGCAGGCUCUAAAAUCAGUGGCGGCGCCGCUGGGUCCUGAACGUAGUAAUAUCUCUCGUUACAGGUUCUCGGUGUGCUUCUGCCAAAACCCAAAUUUUCUAUGGUUGACCUCGGAUCAGGUAGGGAUACCCGCUGAACUUAAGCAUAUCAAUAAGCGAAGGA